GGGAAUAUUGCACAAUGGGGGAAACCCUGAUGCAGCGACGCCGCGUGAGCGAUGAAGUAUUUCGGUAUGUAAAGCCCUAUCAGCAGGGAAGAAAGUGACUGUACCCACAGAAUAAGCCUCGGCUAACUACGUGCCAGCCGCCGCGGUAAUACGUAGGAGGCAAGCGUUAUCCGGAAUGAAUGGGCGUAAAGGGUGCGUAGGUGGUUUGGCAAGUUAGUAGCGUAAUUCCGGGGCUCAACUUCGGAACUACUACUAAAACUGCUGGGCUUGAGUGCAGGAGGGGCAUAUGGAAUUCCUAGUGUAGCGGUGGAAUGCGUAGAUAUUAGGAGGAACACCAGUGGCGAAGGCGAUAUGCUGGACUGUAACUGACACUGAGGCACGAAAGCGUGGGGAGCAAACAGG
rnacentral:rRNA from 1 species